AACUCUGGUGGCCUAGUGAUUAGAGCGUCCGUCUCAGAUGCGGAAGGUCACGGAUCCGAACCCCAGCCGAGUCA